CAGUCGAGCGAGUCUGCCUUGAAGAUCGGAGUGCUUGCACUCUGUGAAACAAGAUACAGGCUAGCGGCGGACGGGUGAGUAACACGUGGGUAACCUGCCCAAGAGAUCGGGAUAACACCUGGAAACAGAUGCUAAUACCGGAUAACAACAGAUGAUGCCUAUCAACUGUUUAAAAGAUGGUUCUGCUAUCACUCUUGGAUGGACCUGCGGUGCAUUAGCUAGUUGGUAGGGUAACGGCCCACCAAGGCGAUGAUGCAUAGCCGAGUUGAGAGACUGAUCGGCCACAUUGGGACUGAGACACGGCCCAAACUCCUACGGGAGGCAGCAGUAGGGAAUCUUCCACAAUGGACGCAAGUCUGAUGGAGCAACGCCGCGUGAGUGAAGAAGGGUUUCGGCUCGUAAAGCUCUGUUGUUGGUGAAGAAGGACAGGGGUAGUAACUGACCUUUGUUUGACGGUAAUCAAUUAGAAAGUCACGGCUAACUACGUGCCAGCAGCCGCGGUAAUACGUAGGUGGCAAGCGUUGUCCGGAUUUAUUGGGCGUAAAGCGAGUGCAGGCGGCUCGAUAAGUCUGAUGUGAAAGCCUUCGGCUCAACCGGAGAAUUGCAUCAGAAACUGUCGAGCUUGAGUACAGAGGAGGAGAGUGGAACUCCAUGUGUAGCGGUGAAAUGCGUAGAUAUAUGGAAGAACACCGGUGGCGAAGGCGGCUCUCUGGUCUGUUACUGACGCUGAGGCUCGAAAGCAUGGGUAGCGAACAGGAUUAGAUACCCUGGUAGUCCAUGCCGUAAACGAUGAGUGCUAAGUGUUGGGAGGUUUCCGCCUCUCAGUGCUG
rnacentral:rRNA from 1 species